AGCGAACGCUGGCGGCAGGCCUAACACAUGCAAGUCGAACGAAGUCUUCGGACUUAGUGGCGGACGGGUGAGUAACACGUGGGAACGUGCCUUUAGGUUCGGAAUAACUCAGGGAAACUUGUGCUAAUACCGAAUGUGCCCUUCGGGGGAAAGAUUUAUCGCCUUUGGAGCGGCCCGCGUCUGAUUAGCUAGUUGGUGAGGUAAAGGCUCACCAAGGCGACGAUCAGUAGCUGGUCUGAGAGGAUGAUCAGCCACAUUGGGACUGAGACACGGCCCAAACUCCUACGGGAGGCAGCAGUGGGGAAUCUUGCGCAAUGGGCGAAAGCCUGACGCAGCCAUGCCGCGUGAAUGAUGAAGGCCUUAGGAUUGCAAAAUUCUUUCACCGGGGACGAUAAUGACGGUACCCGGAGAAGAAGCCCCGGCUAACUUCGUGCCAGCCGCCGCAGUAAGAC
rnacentral:rRNA from 1 species